UCCUUUCAGUUCACUUUUUUUCCGUUCUCCCAUGCCUUCUCUCUCCAUUGAAGAUGUGACUUCUUCCGCUGUCGUCGCCGCCGCUGCUCAUGUCGCACGAGCUCCUUCCAUCGCCUCUCUCAGUGCGGUUGCUCCUUUCGUCGUCACACGAGCUCUCUCGGCCGUGCUCUUGUCUUACGAGCUCCCUCCGCCGCCACUCUCGUGCUGCUUCUUCUCUCCUCGCCAGAGGUUUGUCAUCGUCUCUUCUGGUCGCUGUUAGUUCAGAAUACGAUCGAGGAGAGCUCUUAUGUUUGCAAAUCAACUGUUGCUGCUGUAGAGAACGGAGUUUCUAAAUUCUAAGGGGAGAUGACACUAACACAACUCCAAAGACAACAACGCGUUUAAUUGAUUCUGAUCUUGCCGUCGCUCUUGUCUUUCAACAACAGCACUAUCAUCAUGCCUUUGAUUUAACCUCAAGGCUGGGAAUGGGAAACUUGUAGUUGUGGACUCCAAUGAUCAAACUAAGCUUAAACAUGAGGAUCAGAAGACUCUUCGUAGACUGGCUCAGAAUUGUGAGGCUGCUAGGAAGAGUCGAUUGAAGAAGAAGGUAAAUUAAUUGCUCCCAACCUGAU